GGGCCCAUAGCUCAGUUGGUAGAGCAGCGGACUCAUAAUCCGCGAGUCGUAGGUUCGAGUCCUACUGGGCCCACCA
rnacentral:tRNA from 1 species